rnacentral:rRNA from 1 species
CCCUUAGAUGUUCUGGGCCGCACGCGUGCUACACUGAGUAAAUCAAUGGGUAAGGGAACACGAAAGUGCAACCUAAUCUUUAAAUCCGCUCGUGAUGGGGAUUGACGGUUGCAAUUUUCUGUCAUGAACGAGGAAUACCUUGUAAGCGCGGGUCAUCAUCCCGCGCUGAAUACGUCCCUGCCCUUUGUACACACCGCCCGUCGCUCCUACCGAUUGAGUGGUCCGGUGAGGCUUUGGGAUCUGAGCGGAAAGAGCGUUUCGCUGUUUCUGCUCGGAAAACUCAGUCGAACCUUAUCAUUUAGAGGAAGGAGAAGUCGUAACA